rnacentral:rRNA from 1 species
CCCUUAGAUGUCCUGGGCCGCACGCGCGCUACACUGACCAGUGCAACAAGCAUCCGUCCUUGGCCGACAGGCCCGGGCAAUCUUUGAACGCUGGUCGUGAUGGGGAUAGACUUUUGCAAUUUUUGGUCUUCAACGAGGAAUUCCUAGUAAACGCAAGUCAUCAACUUGCAUUGAUUACGUCCCUGCCCUUUGUACACACCGCCCGUCGCACCUACCGAUUGAAUGGUCCGGUGAAGCCUCCGGAUUGGCGCGCACCCCGGUGCCGCCGAGAAGUUGGCUAAACCUUACCAUUUAGAGGAAGGUGAAGUCGUAACA